AUGGGUGGAAGAGGGAAGUAAGCAAGCAGAAGUAACUUCCUGCUACUGACAUACUGGCCUUGAAGGAGCUGGAUCACUGAAGAGAGGCCCCCAAUUUCUGGGUGAAUAUGCUUUCCACAUUUAAAAAGAUGCUUUGGCAACAGAAGUCCAAUUUUGAAUGAAUGAAAGAUUCACAAUGGGUGCUUAAAAAAAAUAAACAGAAGGUAUGAGGUGGAAAUUAUAAUAAAUAUUUUUCUAUAUAAUCGAUAAGCUUCAUUGAUCACAAAAGACAACACAUCAUUGUUCCUAAAAUUCUCCACUGCCUCAGUAUGGCUUGCAGCAUCACGCCUCACAGUGCCUGACCAAGCAUUUUCAAACAUUCACCAUUGUGAGCACUUAUUAAAAAUAAGGAUGCCUGGGUCUCACCCCUACUUCCUGUGGAGGAAAGAAGAUUCAGUAAGAGAAGAUGGAAUAGUGAUGGAGGCCGUAAGUCUGGAGUUUGCCUAUUACAUCGAGUGAUGCUGUUGUGGGUUUGGUGCUAUCUUGAUGCCUACGGGUCACUGGCACUUAUAUUUGGAGGCCCCACCUCAAAAUCACCUCAAAUGUAUUUGAAUGCAUCCUCAACACCUAUUAAAUAUUUUUUGGCUUUUAA